rnacentral:lncRNA from 10 species
AGGUAUGAUUUGCCCCUCCUUGCCUUCUGCCAUGAUUGUGAGGCCUCCCCAGCCACGUGAAACUGAUCACAGGGCUCAGUUGAAGUCCAAGACUGUCAGAGGUGUGGAUAAAGUUAAAAUAUUUAACCUUCUCAUGUAAACAUAAGAGCCUGAUUAAUUUUGAGACAUGAGCUUUGGACCCAGACCUGAGCUGGACUCUUGCUUCACUUCACUUCACCGAGCUGCGUGGGCUUGGAGGGAUGGUUAAACGACGCUUAGACGGGGGCGCACGGUGACAGAUGCGGCCCCGGCACAGGGGCACUGGCGUUGAGAUUCCACAUCAGCAUCGGUGGGAACCUGGGAGAACUAUUGCGCCUUUUGCAGACCC